rnacentral:rRNA from 1 species
UGGGGAAUUUUGCGCAAUGGGCGAAAGCCUGACGCAGCGACGCCGCGUGAGGGAUGAAGGUUCUCGGAUCGUAAACCUCUGUCAGGAAGGAUUAAAGGUAUGGAUGGUAAUAUCAUCCAUACUUGACUUAACUUCCAAAGGAAGCCCCGGCUAACUACGUGCCAGCAGCCGCGGUAAUACGUAGGGGGCAAGCGUUACUCGGAUUUACUGGGCGUAAAGAGAAUUAAGGCGGUCAUGUAAGUCAGUGGUGAAAUCCCUCGGCUCAACUGAGGAAUUGCCUUUGAUACUGCGUGACUUGAGGACAGGAGAGGAAGGCGGAAUUCCCGGUGUAGCGGUGGAAUGCGUAGAUAUCGGGAGGAACACCUGAGGCGAAGGCGGCUUUCUGGACUGGUCCUGACGCUGAUAUUCGAAAGCUAGGGGAGCAAACAGGAUUAGAUACCCUGGUAGUCCUAGCUGUAAACGAUGGAUACUAGAUCUUGCAUGAAUUUGCUUGGUCGAAGCUAACGCGUUAAGUAUCCCGCCUGGGGAGUACGG